rnacentral:rRNA from 1 species
CCUACGGGAGGCAGCAGUGGGGAAUAUUGCACAAUGGGGGAAACCCUGAUGCAGCGACGCCGCGUGAGUGAAGAAGUACUUCGGUAUGUAAAGCUCUAUCAGCAGGGAAGAAAAUGACGGUACCUGAUUAAGAAGCCCCGGCUAACUACGUGCCAGCAGCCGCGGUAAUACGUAGGGGGCAAGCGUUAUCCGGAUUUACUGGGUGUAAAGGGAGCGUAGACGGCAGCACAAGUCUGGAGUGAAAGGCCGGGGCUAAACCCCGGGACUGCUUUUGAAACUGUGUGGCUGGAGUGCAGGAGAGGUAAGUGGAAUUCCUAGUGUAGCGGUGAAAUGCGUAGAUAUUAGGAGGAACACCAGUGGCGAAGGCGGCUUACUGGACUGUAACUGACGUUGAGGCUCGAAAGCGUGGGGAGCAAACAGGAUUAGAUACCCUGGUAGUC